UUCACAUCUGCCCUGGUUUUGUUGGUGACUUCCAUGACAAAUUCACAGCGUUUUCCAUUGGGUGGGUUCAUUAGAUGAUUAAGAAUAUACAGAUCCACUGUGGCACCCAGAUUAUCUAUGUUAGACACAAAAAUAUACUCUUUGCCUUCUCCUAUAAAGGUAUCAAGCAAUCCAGAGUUGUAGAAACUGGCGUAAAUAUCACCAUGACCUGGA
rnacentral:misc_RNA from 1 species